rnacentral:rRNA from 1 species
GUGAGCUCGAUGAGUAGGGCGGGACACGUGGUAUCCUGUCUGAAUAUGGGGGGACCAUCCUCCAAGGCUAAAUACUCCUGACUGACCGAUAGUGAACCAGUACCGUGAGGGAAAGGCGAAAAGAACCCCGGCGAGGGGAGUGAAAAAGAACCUGAAACCGUGUACGUACAAGCAGUGGGAGCACCCUUUGGGGUGUGACUGCGUACCUUUUGUAUAAUGGGUCAGCGACUUAUAUUCUGUAGCAAGGUUAACCGUAUAGGGGAGCCGGAGGGAAACCGAGUCUUAACCGGGCGUUAAGUUGCAGGGUAUAGACCCGAAACCCGGUGAUCUAGCCAUGGGCAGGUUGAAGGUUGGGUAACACUAACUGGAGGACCGAACCGACUAAUGUUGAAAAAUUAGCGGAUGACCUGUGGCUGGGGGUGAAAGGCCAAUCAAACCGGGAGAUAGCUGGUUCUCCCCGAAAGCUAUUUAGGUAGCGCCUCGUGAAUUCAUCUCCGGGGGUAGAGCACUGUUUCGGCUAGGGGGCCAUCCCGGCUUACCAACCCGAUGCAAACUGCGAAUACCGGAGAAUGUUAUCACGGGAGACACACGGCGGGUGCUAACGUCCGUCGUGAAGAGGGAAACAACCCAGACCGCCAGCUAAGGUCCCAAAGUCAUGGUUAAGUGGGAAACGAUGUGGGAAGGCCCAGACAGCCAGGAUGUUGGCUUAGAAGCAGCCAUCAUUUAAAGAAAGCGUAAUAGCUCACUGGUCGAGUCGGCCUGCGCGGAAGAUGUAACGGGGCUAAACCAUGCACCGAAGCUGCGGCAGCGACGCUUAUGCGUUGUUGGGUAGGGGAGCGUUCUGUAAGCCUGUGAAGGUGGCCUGUGAGGGUUGCUGGAGGUAUCAGAAGUGCGAAUGCUGACAUAAGUAACGAUAAAGCGGGUGAAAAGCCCGCUCGCCGGAAGACCAAGGGUUCCUGUCCAACGUUAAUCGGGGCAGGGUGAGUCGACCCCUAAGGCGAGGCCGAAAGGCGUAGUCGAUGGGAAACGGGUUAAUAUUCCCGUACUUGGUGUUACUGCGAAGGGGGGACGGAGAAGGCUAUGUUGGCCGGGCGACGGUU